CCUCCUGCAUUGCAUUAAAUCUCGAAGGAUGGUUCCAUCUCAAGCACACCCUUCUAUCCUAACGCUUGAGCCACUGCCUUCGUUUUCCUGAAAAGAGAAAGUGUGUGUGUGUGUGUGUGUGUGUGUGAGAGAGAGAGAGAGAGAGAGAGAGAGAGAGAGAGAGANAAGUUCGUGAUAUAUUCGAGGCGACGUUUAUGGCGUCAUCCAACGAGCAGUCAUCAUUGGUAAUGGAUUUUCGACUUCCGAAAACCAAAGCAUUGACUUCGUACGCAUCCUAGGCGUUACGGAAAAACUAAUUCUUUAUGUAAGUAUUGAAUCUGAAUACUCUUUUUAAUUUUCUUUUUCUCGUGGGGUUUGUUCAAUAGUCAGUAAAAAAAUUGUGAAAAUUUGAUUUGAACUGAUGAUGUAUUGUUUUUAAGGGUUCUUUUAAUGUUUUAUUUAUAUGUUUAGGAGUUUUGUUAUAAUGCAGUGGAGAGUUAGGAAAUAUUGAAUUGAAUUUAUGAUGCAUUGGAUUUAUGGAUUAUUUUAUUUUACUAAUUCAGUUGGAGUGUUUUGGAGAUGAUAUUCAUAGAUUUUUUGUUUAGACUUUUGAUAUUAUGUUUUGUAAUUAAAAAGUUAUUAGUCAUUGGAAUCUUCAAUGUUGAGGUACAGUACGCACCAUUUGGCUGGGUGCAACUUUUUUUCUUUCUUUCCUUUUUUUCCCUUCUGUUUCUUGAUGUUGUCGGUUUUGUUUUUGGGUUCAUUACUUGGAAAAUGAUUUUGGAUUUUCUAUUCAUUUUGAGAAUGGGUUUAUUUAAAUCAAAUGAAGUGGAUAAAGAAUCUUUGUGUUUUCUCUUGUUCUGAGAAUGGGUUUAUUUAAAUCAAAUGCAUCACUUUUCUAUCUCACCAAGCAAUUUAAGAAUGUUGCUUUUUCCUUUUUAUCUAAUUAUCCUUGAAAUCAAUUGCCACCUCUCAUUGCCCAUUGUAUUCACAAUACUGAUUGUCCAUAAAUAAUGAUAAUCGAUUUAAAGUCAAUUUAUAUAAUAUGUAGAGCAGUGGAAGAUCUUGAAGAUAUACAUGCAUUGGCAUUAGCAUGUAAAGAGUGGUGGCUACGUUGUAUGCUAAUUUUGGAUUAGAGAUGAUGUCUGAAAUCAUCUUGUGAUUUCUCUUGUUUUCUGAAUUCUCAACAGAUUAAUUAAAAAAAUGUCAAGGGAUGUUAUACAGGUCUUUUGCCCAUUUUUGUUGAAUUAUUUUGCAUUUCGAAGCUUAAUUUUUUUAUUGGAGUUGGGAUUAGCACAAAAAGUGAAAUUCUUAAUUAUAGAUGUUACUUUUCUCGACUUAAAAUACAUGCAUAAGUGUAGAAGGAAUGCAAUAAUUUCACCUUCAUGAUGUUGGUCUACCUUCUUUAACAUGAACCUCACAGAAGGUAUUAAUGAUUUCUUAGUGGUUGUUUGUCAGUAUUCUAUUACACGAUCUUUUGAAUCAUUGAUUUGCUAGCCGCAGCUGCUUCUUAUUUAUUUAUUUUUAUCAUUAUUAUUUUAUUUUUUUCAAUUUUGUUUAAAUCGAUAAAAAGUUUGUUCAUUUUGUGUUUUACUUUUGGGAAUACGAACAGGGGUGAAAGCAAAGCCUUUGAAGCUACCAAAGGUUAACAAGAAAUAGUAUGACAAGAUAUUGAUUUACUGCAACGAACAUUCCAUUUGGAGUAGUUAUGAAGCUUUUUUUCUAAUUAAUUAAUUUGAAUAUAUAAUCAUCAUCUAUCGAGGAAAAUAACAGCCUUUAGUUUUGAUGAAUUUCGAUUGAUUGUCUCUUAAUCAUUUUUUAUUUCCUUUCUUCUUUGUUAAUAACGACUUUUAUGAAAUAACCAUGUAUCAGAAUCCUGGAUCAUAAAUAAAGAAGGCAUGCUUUGUAUGUUAUUUAUACUGUGACAAAACCUGUAUUUAGAUACAUAUUUUCUUACACAUAUUAUAAUUUUUUUGAUUAAUUAAAUUUGAAAAGAAUUAUCAUUUUCUUUUUUGGAAAAUAAGAAGAUUCAGGCUUUGUAAAUUUUGAUUUAUUGUUUCUUCAACUAUCUGUUUUCUUUAUUCUUGUUCUUGUGGUAUUCUAAGUCAAUUCAAAUUGGUAUAGUUGACGAUGAAGCGUGUAUAGAUUCAUACUUUGAUUGUCAAUCUACACAACUCUUGUUUAUUCAUAAGCUCUGGCCAUUAUAGUUGAGUUGCAUAACACAAUUUAUUACCGUUCUUAUAUUGGUAUAGUUUCUUAAAUGAUCAUUUGAUUGCUUGUAAGCUUCUAUGCUUCUAAGUUGUUAACUAUGAUUCCACUCUGUCUACAACUUUCGAGAAACAAAAAGAAUAAAAACUAAUAUUGGUUGUUCUGUUUGUUGUGAUAAUAUUUAACUCAAUCUUGAUGAGGCAAGUCUAUGAACAUUCUCUUUUGUGAAGUUCUCUUUCA
rnacentral:lncRNA from 1 species